CGUGUAGGCGGAUGGGUCAGUCAGAUGUGAAAUCCCAGAGCUUAACUUUGGGCCUGCAUUUGAUACUGCUCGUCUAGAGUAUGGGAGAGGAGAUCGGAAUUCCUGGUGUAGCGGUGAAAUGCGUAGAUAUCAGGAAGAACACCGGUGGCGAAGGCGGAUCUCUGGCCUAAUACUGACGCUGAGGCGCGAAAGCUGGGGGAGCAAACAGGAUUAGAUACCCUGGUAGUCC
rnacentral:rRNA from 1 species